UAGGGAAUCUUCCGCAAUGGGCGAAAGCCUGACGGAGCAACGCCGCGUGAGUGAUGAAGGUCUUCGGAUCGUAAAACUCUGUUAUUAGGGAAGAACAAAUGUGUAAGUAACUAUGCACGUCUUGACGGUACCUAAUCAGAAAGCCACGGCUAACUACGUGCCAGCAGCCGCGGUAAUACGUAGGUGGCAAGCGUUAUCCGGAAUUAUUGGGCGUAAAGCGCGCGUAGGCGGUUUUUUAAGUCUGAUGUGAAAGCCCACGGCUCAACCGUGGAGGGUCGUUGGAAACUGGAAAACUUGAGUGCAGAAGAGGAAAGUGGAAUUCCAUGUGUAGCGGUGAAAUGCGCAGAAAUAAGAAGGAACACCAGUGGCGAAGGAGACUUUCUGGUCUAUAACUGACGCUGAUGUGCGAAAGCGUGGGGAUCAAACAGG
rnacentral:rRNA from 1 species